GUGGGGAAUCUUAGACAAUGGGGGAAACCCUGAUCUAGCCAUGCCGCGUGAGCGAUGAAGGCCUUAGGGUUGUAAAGCUCUUUCAGCUGGGAAGAUAAUGACGGUACCAGCAGAAGAAGCCCCGGCUAACUCCGUGCCAGCAGCCGCGGUAAUACGGAGGGGGCUAGCGUUGUUCGGAAUUACUGGGCGUAAAGCGCGCGUAGGCGGACCAGAAAGUCAGAGGUGAAAUCCCAGGGCUCAACCUUGGAACUGCCUUUGAAACUCCUGUUCUUGAGUUCGAGAGAGGUGAGUGGAAUUCCGAGUGUAGAGGUGAAAUUCGUAGAUAUUCGGAGGAACACCAGUGGCGAAGGCGGCUCACUGGCUCGAUACUGACGCUGAGGUGCGAAAGCGUGGGGAGCAAACAGGAUUAGAAACCCUAGUAGUCC
rnacentral:rRNA from 1 species